UAUUAAAAAAUUUAUUAUUCGAAAAUUGAAUAUUUUCCAUUUACCAUCAUUUUUAAGAAUUCAAUAAUCCACAAUCUAAUGAAUUUAAUAUGAUCAAGAAUUUGAAAUUUAAACAAGAAAGAAAAGAAAAGAAAGAGAGGGCAAUAAGAACAUUAUUUUGCAACCAUCAAAAUUCACCCACGUUGCCUUAUUGAUUGAGCAGAUGCAUAAAUAACAAAACAACAAAUCUGGUUUGAAGAAGUUCAUAAUCUUCAAGUCUUCACAAGCACCAAAUCAUCAAUACAAUUGAUAAAAUGUGUAGCCUUCACUUUGAGUUCAGAAACCAUUCUUUCAGACAAAGGUUUCAAGCCCAACAUAAAUUGAAUGACUUGUUGCAUCACCACCCACAGAAUUAGAACAAAACCCAGCGCAAUAUUUGCCUUUAGUGACACAAAAUAACAAUCAGAAAGGAAGGAGAAUGCAUCGUAAAGAUCAAUUAUAGCAAUGGAGAAAAGGGUUAUGGAGAAUGCAAGUAUUAAGCCAUUGAAGAUAACAAAAAUAGCUGCAAGUAGAGCACAUGCAAUGAAGGAGCAAUAGAGGAAUGUAAGGAGGAUUAGAUCCAAGUUGGGUACCAUUUGUUUAUGGGUUUUGAUUGAUGAUUUUUGGGAGAGAGGAGUGUCAGGGGUUUGUGAGUGUUUUGGAUUUUG
rnacentral:misc_RNA from 1 species